CCUCCCAUUUAUUUGCUGCUAUAGUCUUUCAAUGAUAGGAGCGGUUAUACGCAUAGGAUGAAAUAAUGUUGGGCCAUACUAUAUAUAAAAUAGAUAACUGGACUUCCCUGGUGGUGCAGUGGUUAAGAAUUUG